AUGACAUGCAGUGUUUGAGCAUGCUCAGUAGAUACAGACUGGCAUCUGGCGCCGAUGAAAAGGUCCUAAGAAUAUUCAAAGCACCUCGUCAGUUCAUGGAGACAUUUCAAGGACUUUGCAAAAUUAAGGAAAACGAUGAGGUGGCUGAUAGUUUGCCUGUAGGAGCGAGUGUACCUGCUCUUGGACUUUCAAACAAAGCUGUCUAUGAAGGUGAGAGACUGAAUGCCGGCAAUUUAGAAAUUUGUAGAUUUUACAAGUUUGCCUUCUUCUUUC